UCCAGCAGCAACUCUGAGGCAGAGGCCCCAGGCCCCGGAGACCACACUACACUGCUGGUGUGGCGUAUAUCUCUGUGGUGACCAGGGAGGAUAUAUGCCAUCGCUUAGAUGACAGGCAGGAGCGUCAAGAAGAGGUGAGGCAAAUUUGAACAUGUUUAACUGCUGCUGGGAAGGAUUCAGUAAAGAGGGAGACGCUGAAGAUAUGAGACAAAGAAGAUAGCCAGUGGGUUUGGAAGAAGACUCCAGGAAAUUCAGCUUCUGCCUUUUAGAGAUAAUCAGCCCAGCUCUCCAGUCUCCUACUUGGAAUUCUUUAAAAUAUGGAGAUAUCCCUGAAGAAUCCUAAAUUUAAGAGACCAUUCUGCCAAAUCCUCA